GAACGAAUCCCGACCUCUCACCCUUGCCCUCUCCCUCCGGGAGAGGGUGGGGUGAGGGGCCGGGGGAAGUGGCGAAAGGGGCAGUAAGGCAUGGAUAACCUACCUCGGGGAUCGGGAUAGCCUUCCUAACGGAAGGGUAAUACCGGGCGAGCUAACGAAGGGGCAUCUCUUUGUUAGGAAAUGAAUUUCGCCUUGAGAGGGGUUCAUGUAGUAUUAGCUUGUUGGUGGGGUAACGGCUCACCAAGGCCAAGAUGCUUAGCGGGUGUGAGAGCACGACCCGCGCCACUGGCACUGAGACACUGGCCAGACUCCUACGGGAGGCUGCAGUCGAGGAUCUUCGGCAAUGGGCGCAAGCCUGACCGAGCGACGCCGCGUGUGCGAUGAAGGCCUUCGGGUUGUAAAGCACUGUCGAGGGGGAGAAAAGCCCGCAAGGGUCUGAUCUAUCCCUGGAGGAAGCACGGGCUAAGUUCGUG
rnacentral:rRNA from 1 species